GAUGAACGCUGGCGGCGUGCCUAAUACAUGCAAGUCGAGCGAACGGACGAGACGCUUGCUUGUCUGAUGUUAGCGGCGGGCGGGUGAGUAACACGUGGAUAACCUACCUAUAAGACUGGGAUAACUUCGGGAAACCGGAGCUAAUACCGGAUAAUAUUUUGAACCGCAGGGUUCAAAAGUGAAAGACGGUCUUGCUGUCACUUAUAGAUGGAUCCGAGCUGCAUUAGCUAGUUGGUAAGGUAACGGCUUACCAAGGCAACGAUGCAUAGCCGACCUGAGAGGGUGAUCGGCCACACUGGAACUGAGACACGGUCCAGACUCCUACGGGAGGCAGCAGUAGGGAAUCUUCCGCAAUGGGCGAAAGCCUGACGCAGCAACGCCGCGUGAGUGAUGAAGGUCUUCGGAUCGUAAAACUCUGUUAUUAGGGAAGAACAGAUGUGUAAGUAACUGUGCCCAUCUUGACGGUACCUAAUCAGAAAGCCCCGGCUAACUACGUG
rnacentral:rRNA from 1 species